rnacentral:misc_RNA from 2 species
CAGAACGACCUCGGUCGAUCUCUCCUCGCUGUGCGGCUUCGGCCUGCACGCUUGGAAUCCACACACCUGUGCACUUCGUUCGGGGAAACCUGAUCGCCACACACACUUAUUGUCUCGAAUGUCUAAUACUAUACAAUA